GCCAGCCCGCUCAGAACUCAAGGAAUUGACGGGGCCCGCACAAGCGGUGGAGCAUGUGGUUUAAUUCGAUGAUACGCGAGGAACCUUACCUGGGCUCAAAUGUAUGUUGACGUAUUCUGAAAGGGAUACUUCUUCGGACAAUAUACAAGGUGCUGCAUGGUUGUCGUCAGCUCGUGCCGUGAGGUGUCGGGUUAAGUCCCAUAACGAGCGCAACCCCUAUCAUUAGUUGCCAUCAGGUCAAGCUGGGGACUCUAAUGAAACUGCCUACGCAAGUAGUGAGGAAGGUGGGGAUGACGUCAAAUCAGCACGGCCCUUACGUCCAGGGCUACACACGUGCUACAAUGGCCGGUACAAAGGGCAGCUACCUGGUGACAGGAUGCUAAUCUCAAAAGCCGGUCUCAGUUCGGAUCGGAGUCUGCAACCCGACUGCGUGAAGUCGGAAUCGCUAGUAAUCGUGAAUCAGAAUGUCACGGUGAAUACGUUCCCGGGCCUC
rnacentral:rRNA from 1 species